CUGUCGGGACAAAUGGCCGAACAGAACUCGUGGUGGAGCACGAACUAUGAGACAUUGAGCUUUACACGGCACUUCCCGAGGGUCAGGCUAUGAAGACAAACACCCCAGCAGGAGGAAAUCCUACCUUGUCACCCACCACAGCAUGGCUCAGGAUUGUUAUGCUAGAGUCAUUUAAAACUCACAAAGAAAAGAGAAAAUACCCCUGCUGUAGAUAGCACAGAAGAGAGCUGUCUCCAUUCAUCUCCAUCAACGGUUACAGUGAUAAUGGACUCUCAGAGAACAAGAUAGCUUCAUUCCAUGGGCAGUGGUACAGUCUUGCAGUGCAUGCAAUAUAAGAAAGCUGGA